rnacentral:lncRNA from 1 species
GCAGCGAAAUCAUGAAGAAAAUGAAGUUUGAAAUGCACGGUAGGUGUUUGUGAAAAUGUGUGAAGGUGUUUGGAUGGAUGUUUGGUAGAAUUCUAACUCAGUAGGCUUUCCAAAGGGGAAAGGAGCUAGAGGAGGUGCAAGAUAACAAGGCACAAGUUUGAACUUGAGAGGACAACUGAGAAUUCAACAGCAUUUCAUUACUCCAAAUCAAGUUACAUUUACAAUGAGAUGAAGCUCUCUUUUAUAGGAGAAGGAGAGCUAUCAAUCUUGCAGUAGAAGCUAUCCUAAUUGCACGUGAUGGAAAACCAAGGUAGCUUGUGGAGGAAGCUUGUCCAGCUGGCUAGGU